rfam:Gossypium hirsutum cultivar TM-1 chromosome 5, whole genome shotgun sequence
UGUUAAACAUUUUAUACAUUUGCAUUGUUAAAAACUAGUGUGGUUGGCAGAACAACCAGACAGUGAUAGGUAACAUGCUACAUGUACAUCAUGUUGAUGUACAGGACUAAUUUUUAAUCGUAGAAGUGGAUGAAAUUUUUAACA